rnacentral:lncRNA from 1 species
AAACAUGAACUUUGGUCAGAAUAUGUUUUGGUAUUUUCUUUUAAAAUACAUCACCAAUUAGACAGAUUUUGUUCCGACUAAUUAUGGUCCGAUUGACCCAUAAUCUGAUAAACUCGUCGUCAUCCGAUCAAUUUGAAAUCCCAUUUUUUUUUAUGAAUCACAAAUUUGUUGGAAGAGAAAUGCAAUAAUAAAGUAGGAGCAGAUACCAACUAAACACUAACAGACUCCUUUUCUGAAUAGCUACUCGGCGUAGACUUGCUCAACCUCCAAAUUCCCGCGUCCAAUUAAAAACCAAAGUAGUUUCCUCAAGUCAACUGAGCCAAAAAGUCUUCAUCCAGCCAUUAUAUGAAGAAGGCAAGAGAAUGUUUGUUGCCAACAUGUGGGUUUGAGAAUUUGAAAUCUCCCUAA